rnacentral:lncRNA from 1 species
AUAUACAUAGAUCCAUGGUUUUUUUUCCAAGGUAACCCAGGACCCCUUCUCACCUUCCUCAAGCGGUCCAGCGCUUAUCCAAUUCAUUGCCCCUCGGUCAAUCACUUAUCCAAUCAUGACCCUCUCCUUCGAUCUAGGAGUAAUCAGUAUCCUGUUAUUUUUUGUCCCAAGGUGGUUCCCAGGCAUCUAGGAUUUUCAUGUGCGUCGACUUUGUGCUAAUUGACUUUCCCCCAUCUCCUGCAAAUUUUCAGGUUAUUCUCGGACUCGAAUUGCCAAGUACUCCUUGAUCUCCAUGAUGAGAAAGGGCAGCAGCGGUGGUGUAAGACUUCCACCUUAUAAUCACUGUCGCAGGUGUGGAGCUUCUGGGCGCAUGUCCAUGUGAGCAUUGGUGGCUUCUUGAGGCCGAAGAGCUCGAGCUGCUCACUAGAUGAAAACGAUGUCAGCAUGGAGGCAGCCUAAGAGACACUAGACAUCUGGAUGAAAGAAGGUGAUUCUUAGCGUACAUGAUGGUUGACUGCUAGCUUGAUGCCAAUGUUAAUUUCGUUUGUUUUCUAGACUUAAAAAUCCACAUACAGGAUGUUCUAAAAUAUGUAUAGUAACAUCACCUGCAUCGAAAGUUUCCGUCACAGCGGAGGAGGAAAAUAUGAUAUAUAUGGUGCUGAAGAAAGAUUAUAGCGAC